rnacentral:rRNA from 1 species
CAGUCGCCACGGGAAUACGGAGGGUGCAAGCGUUAAUCGGAAUUACUGGGCGUAAAGCGUGCGUAGGCGGUUCGUUAAGUCUGUUGUGAAAGCCCCGGGCUCAACCUGGGAAUGGCAAUGGAUACUGGCGAGCUAGAGUGUGUCAGAGGAUGGUGGAAUUCCCGGUGUAGCGGUGAAAUGCGUAGAGAUCGGGAGGAACAUCAGUGGCGAAGGCGGCCAUCUGGGACAACACUGACGCUGAGGCACGAAAGCGUGGGGAGCAAACAGGAUUAGAUACCCCCGUAGUCCCUGUCUCUUAUAC